GUGAACGCUAGCGGUGCGCCUAACACAUGCAAGUCGCACGACCCGCAAGGGUAGUGGCGGACGACUGCGUAACACGUUGGAACCUGCCCCGGACUCAGGGAUACCCCCGCGAAAGCGGGGUUAAUACCGGAUGCCCUCGCAAGAGGAAAGCUUCGGCGGUCCGGGAGGGGCCUGCGGCCUAUCAGCUUGUUGGUGGGGUAACGGCCUACCAAGGCUAUGACGGGUAGCUGGUCUGAGAGGACGACCAGCCAGGAUGGGACUGAGACACGGCCCAUACUGCUACGGGAGGCAGCAGUGAGGAAUCUUCCGCAAUGGGCGAAAGCCUGACGGAGCGACACCGCGUGGAGGAUGAAGCCCUUCUUGGGUGUAAACUCCUGUUCUGAGGGAACAAAUUUUUGAGUGUACCUCAGGAGAAAGCAUCGGCCAACUACGU
rnacentral:rRNA from 1 species